rnacentral:tRNA from 1 species
GCUUAGAAAGCGUUUGCAGUGAUAUUUGUAAUUCAUGAUUUGGAAUAUUCCUCUAAGCU